rnacentral:misc_RNA from 1 species
UUUGUCAUGUUACCCAAGCUUGAAGGCACGCAACCAUGGAACUUAUUGUUGGCCAAAACGAUGACUGAAACAGGGGAGUUGCCGAAAUUGUCAGGAAUAUCGAAGACGAACCUGUUGUGGUUGAUGAAGAUUGCAUCUAAAUCUUUAUCGAAUAGCUCUUUUGGUACAGUACCUUCAAAUUCAUUGAACCUUAGAUCCAAAAAUUUGAGUAUGGGUAGCUUGAGAACAAAUUGUGGGAAUUUCCCAGCAAACCUGUUGUUGCUAAGAUCUAGCUCAUAAAGCAGCCUCAAGUCCUUGAAGUUGUGAGGUACAGUUCCACAAAACCUGUU